AAAUAUUAGUUUAUAGAUAUUAAAAAUUUUUUUAAAUAAAGGCAAAGUAACUCAAUACAAGAUCAUCUGAUAGAGGGGAUGAAGAGUAACAUUUGAAGCAGUAAAGGCAGUAUCCAAAUUCCACCUGUGACUUAUCUCACCCUUGUAAAUCACCUGGGUAAAUCACAACCACUUAGUGCCCUGCACAACUCCCUCAGAUGGUAAGUGCCAGAGAAAAUGGAGAUCCAUAUUGUGAUGGCAAGAAGGAUGAGAAGUUCCUUCCUUGGAACAGAAGAUCUGCUUUAGGUUCUACAGACAUAGCUACAUUGCUCAGCACAGAAAAAGACAAGCAAUCUCCAUUAGACUGGUGACGCCAUCUUAUUUCCCUGGAAAAGAAGCAUGGAUAUAUUGGCUUUUGGAUAUCAGAAGGAGCAGCCCAACCCUGAUUGUGCCCAGUAGAAUGUGAGCUCCUUGAUGAAAGGUACUCUUUUUCAUUCUUCUUAGCUGUCUCCAGCACCUAGCAAUAUUUUGCAAAUUAUAACUGUUCAAUGAAAACUUGUCAUGUUUUUUUUGUGAGGGCAGGGGUCUGGAUUUGAUUUCAUUAGCAUGGGAAACUCUCUGUAGUGAGAAAAUGUCUCUUAUCAACUCAGAUCAGCAUAUAUUUUGCAACCUAGAGCCUUAGAGAGUUGCCAGAGGGCACUGUGACUUGAUGAUGAGAUUUUCCCACAAUUACCCAGCCAAUCUCUACUAAUGACAAGACUUGAAACCAGAUAUUUCUAACUCAAGGCCAGUUCUCUAUCAACAACCCCCAAGCUGUAUCUCUGUUGGAUUGAUUAUGCAAAUGAAAAUCAUUCUAUUUGGAAGAUAUUCCCCAACAUGUCAACAGUCCAUCAUAACUUUCCUUAAUAGGGGAAUUUAUCCAACUAUUUAGUAGUACAAUUUGUGGCUAGCCCAUAUUAUUGGAUGAAUCAAUGAGUCAAUUGACAAGACAACAAAUAAAUUACCAGAUGCAUACA
rnacentral:lncRNA from 1 species